AUUAAAAAUAAUUUUUUAUUAAUUGCCAACCUAGCAAAUAAAAGAAAACUGAUCUUUAAAACUGAAAUGCAUGGCCACGCUGAGCCAGCUUUGGGCACUCUGCACACCAGGUGUCCUCUCUUCUUCCUGUUCUGGUUAGCUAUGGUGGCCAUGAAGACCCUGAACCUCAAGGCCAAGGUGGCCCAAGCCCAGGCGGCACUGGAGGUUAACAUCAGUGCGGCCCAGGGGCUGCAGGACAUGCUGAGGACCAACUUGGGGCCUAAGGGCACCAUGAAGAUGCUUGUUUCUGGUGCUGGAGACAUCAGGCUUACUGAAGAUGGCAAUAUGCUGCUUCAUGAAAUGAGUCUUCAUCCCAGAAUAAUAACAGAAGGACUUGAAACUGCAAAGGAAAAGGCACUUCAGUUUUUGGAACAAGUGAAAGUAAGCAAAGAAAUGGACUGGGAGACACUUACAAAUGUGGCCAGAACAUCUCUACCUCCUAAAGUACAUGCUGAACUUCCUGAUACUUUAAUAGAAGCUGUAAUGGACUUCAUUUUGGUCAUUAAACACAAGGUUAACCUAUUGACCUUUUAAUGUUUGAGAUCAUGGAAAUGAAACAAAUCUGAAACUGAUAAAAGCUUAAUCAGAGGUCUUGUUUAGACAUGGGGCACACAUCCUGAUAUGAAAAAAAAAAAAAAAAGAAGAAGAUGCAUACAUCCUCACGUGCACUGUGUCAUUAGAAUAUGAAAAAACAGAAGUGAAUUCUUUUUUUAUAAGAGUUCAGAAGAAGAGGAACUUGAAAAAGCUGAAAAAAAAUUCCUUGAAGAUAGAGUUAAAAAAUAAUAGAACUGAAAAAGAAAGUCUGUGUGAUUCAGAUAAAGGAUUCAUUCAAAAGGGAAUUGACCCCUAUUCCUUAGAUGCUCUUGCAUAGAGUUAAAAGGAGAAAUAUGGAAAGGCUGACUCUUGCUUGUGGCGGAGUAGCUCUAAAUUCUUUUGAUGACCUAAAUCCUGAUUGUUUUGGACAUGCAGGACUUGUCUGUGAGUAUACAUUGCGAGAAGAGAAAUUCACCUUUAUUGAAAAAUAUAACAAUCCUCACUCCAUCAUAUUACUGGUCAAAGGGCCAAAUAAGCACACACUCACUCAAAUCAAAGAUGCAGUAAGGGAUGGUUUGAGGGCUGUUAAAAAUGCUGUUGAUGGCUUUGUAGUUCUAGGUGCUGGGGCAGUGGAGGUGGCAAUAACAAAAGCCAUGAUUAAAUAUAAGCCCAGUGUAAAGGGCAGGGCCCAACGUGGAGUACAAGCAUUUGCUGAUGCAUUGCUCAUUAUUCCCAAGGUUCUUGCUCAGAACUCUGGUUUUGACCUUCAGGAAACACAAGUUCAAGCAGAACAUUCAGAAUCAGGUCAGUUUGUGGGUGUGGACUUGAACACAGGUGAGCCAGUGGUGGCAGCCGAUGUAGACAUAUGGGAUAACUAUCUUGUAAAGAAUAGCCUUACACAGUCCUGCAUUGUGAUUGCCACCAACAUUCUCCUGGUUGAUGAGAUCAUGAAAGCUGGAAUGUCUUCUUGAAAAGGCUGA